AGCUUUCUGAAUCCGUGCUGAGAUUUUGUCAGACACCGAACCAUUAGUGCUGAACAGACCUCCAGGAUAAGUGAAGUU
rfam:Schistosoma mattheei strain Denwood, Zambia genome assembly, scaffold: SMTD_scaffold0002287